GACUACCGAUACACGGGGCGUUCCCACCCCCUUGAGGUCUGCCGCCGCUUGGAAACCCAGACAGGUCUCCCAGAGUCAUAAAUAAAUAAAAUGGAAAGACUUAAGUUCCAGUCCUUUAGAGCAAGCUGAGUAGUACAGAGGAGAAGGUGCAAUAAGGAAUGUCCUCCUGUGCUAAGAAUGCAUUCAGAACGGGGAUGCUCUGUCCGGAUGCCUUCAUGGAAGAGGUCACGAUUUUCCUCAUAGCCUGAUAAAGGGACACCGUGGAAACUAAACAACUUCUACCAACACCUAGACAAAUGACAGCCUGGGGACUCAGAUGCUCACAAUCUAACCAAGAUCCCUUCCUCCUAAAGGCCAAACAUUCUGCUCUACACAAAGCACUUGACUUCCGAUGAAUACAGUGUGUUUUCCUGAGAAGUUGGCAGAUGGCGAUGUAUAGAAAGUGCAGUGUCUGGCACACGCGGAGCUGCUGAUCCGUGCUACCCAUUCAACCCCCACCUCACCCAGUCACUGCCCACCCGUGACACCUUCUUUCAGUGUCUGAGUCAUACCCAGUAGAUUGCUAGGUGAGGACACCAGAAAGGCUUCGCCCACACAAAUAUGACAUGCUCCCUCAGAAUACAUGUUCCUCCAAUGUUUUUACCUGUCAAUGUCUUUCUUCUCUUCUGAGACUGUGGGCUGGAUUCUAAGAAGUGAAUCCGAAGGUCAUGAGGUGAUAAGAAGAAUAAAGCCACAGAAAACUAAGAGUAGCUUGGUCCCAGCCCUGCUGGGUCUUCAAACCUCUUUUAAGUGCUUACUGUGUAAGAAACGUAGCUCUGUGCUUAAACCACUAUGCCAAAAGUG
rnacentral:lncRNA from 1 species